AAGGCUUUAGCUUAAUUAAAGCAUCUGAUUUGCAUUCAGAAGAUACAGGUUAACGUCCUGUUGGUCUUA
rnacentral:tRNA from 1 species